rnacentral:rRNA from 1 species
CUCAGUUCGGAUUGGAGUCUGCAACCCGACUCCAUGAAGCUGGAUUCGCUAGUAAUCGCGCAUCAGCCACGGCGCGGUGAAUACGUUCCCGGGCCUUGUACACACCGCCCGUCAAGCCAUGGAAGCCGGGAGUGCCUGAAGUACGCGACCGCAAGGAGCGUCCUAAGGUAAAAACCGGUGACUGGGGCUAAGUCGUAACAAGGUAUC